AGCGUACACGGUGGAUGCCCUGGCAGUCAGAGGCGAUGAAGGACGUGCUAAUCUGCGAUAAGCGUCGGUAAGGUGAUAUGAACCGUUAUAACCGGCGAUUUCCGAAUGGGGAAACCCAGUGUGAUUCGUCACACUAUCAUUAACUGAAUCCAUAGGUUAAUGAGGCGAACCGGGGGAACUGAAACAUCUAAGUACCCCGAGGAAAAGAAAUCAACCGAGAUUCCCCCAGUAGCGGCGAGCGAACGGGGAGCAGCCCAGAGCCUGAAUCAGUGUGUGUGUUAGUGGAAGCGUCUGGAAAGGCGCGCGAUACAGGGUGACAGCCCCGUACACAAAAAUGCACAUGCUGUGAGCUCGAUGAGUAGGGCGGGACACGUGGUAUCCUGUCUGAAUAUGGGGGGACCAUCCUCCAAGGCUAAAUACUCCUGACUGACCGAUAGUGAACCAGUACCGUGAGGGAAAGGCGAAAAGAACCCCGGCGAGGGGAGUGAAAAAGAACCUGAAACCGUGUACGUACAAGCAGUGGGAGCCUCUUAAUGGGGUGACUGCGUACCUUUUGUAUAAUGGGUCAGCGACUUAUAUUCUGUAGCAAGGUUAACCGAAUAGGGGAGCCGAAGGGAAACCGAGUCUUAACUGGGCGUUAAGUUGCAGGGUAUAGACCCGAAACCCGGUGAUCUAGCCAUGGGCAGGUUGAAGGUUGGGUAACACUAACUGGAGGACCGAACCGACUAAUGUUGAAAAAUUAGCGGAUGACUUGUGGCUGGGGGUGAAAGGCCAAUCAAACCGGGAGAUAGCUGGUUCUCCCCGAAAGCUAUUUAGGUAGCGCCUCGUGAAUUCAUCUCCGGGGGUAGAGCACUGUUUCGGCAAGGGGGUCAUCCCGACUUACCAACCCGAUGCAAACUGCGAAUACCGGAGAAUGUUAUCACGGGAGACACACGGCGGGUGCUAACGUCCGUCGUGAAGAGGGAAACAACCCAGACCGCCAGCUAAGGUCCCAAAGUCAUGGUUAAGUGGGAAACGAUGUGGGAAGGCCCAGACAGCCAGGAUGUUGGCUUAGAAGCAGCCAUCAUUUAAAGAAAGCGUAAUAGCUCACUGGUCGAGUCGGCCUGCGCGGAAGAUGUAACGGGGCUAAACCAUGCACCGAAGCUGCGGCAGCGACGCUUAUGCGUUGUUGGGUAGGGGAGCGUUCUGUAAGCCUGCGAAGGUGUACUGUGAGGUAUGCUGGAGGUAUCAGAAGUGCGAAUGCUGACAUAAGUAACGAUAAAGCGGGUGAAAAGCCCGCUCGCCGGAAGACCAAGGGUUCCUGUCCAACGUUAAUCGGGGCAGGGUGAGUCGACCCCUAAGGCGAGGCCGAAAGGCGUAGUCGAUGGGAAACAGGUUAAUAUUCCUGUACUUGGUGUUACUGCGAAGGGGGGACGGAGAAGGCUAUGUUGGCCGGGCGACGGUUGUCCCGGUUUAAGCGUGUAGGCUGGUUUUCCAGGCAAAUCCGGAAAAUCAAGGCUGAGGCGUGAUGACGAGGCACUACGGUGCUGAAGCAACAAAUGCCCUGCUUCCAGGAAAAGCCUCUAAGCAUCAGGUAACAUCAAAUCGUACCCCAAACCGACACAGGUGGUCAGGUAGAGAAUACCAAGGCGCUUGAGAGAACUCGGGUGAAGGAACUAGGCAAAAUGGUGCCGUAACUUCGGGAGAAGGCACGCUGAUAUGUAGGUGAAGUCCCUUGCGGAUGGAGCUGAAAUCAGUCGAAGAUACCAGCUGGCUGCAACUGUUUAUUAAAAACACAGCACUGUGCAAACACGAAAGUGGACGUAUACGGUGUGACGCCUGCCCGGUGCCGGAAGGUUAAUUGAUGGGGUUAGCGGUAACGCGAAGCUCUUGAUCGAAGCCCCGGUAAACGGCGGCCGUAACUAUAACGGUCCUAAGGUAGCGAAAUUCCUUGUCGGGUAAGUUCCGACCUGCACGAAUGGCGUAAUGAUGGCCAGGCUGUCUCCACCCGAGACUCAGUGAAAUUGAACUCGCUGUGAAGAUGCAGUGUACCCGCGGCAAGACGGAAAGACCCCGUGAACCUUUACUAUAGCUUGACACUGAACAUUGAGCCUUGAUGUGUAGGAUAGGUGGGAGGCUUUGAAGUGUGGACGCCAGUCUGCAUGGAGCCGACCUUGAAAUACCACCCUUUAAUGUUUGAUGUUCUAACGUUGGCCCCUAAUCGGGGUUGCGGACAGUGUCUGGUGGGUAGUUUGACUGGGGCGGUCUCCUCCUAAAGAGUAACGGAGGAGCACGAAGGUUGGCUAAUCCUGGUCGGACAUCAGGAGGUUAGUGCAAUGGCAUAAGCCAGCUUGACUGCGAGCGUGACGGCGCGAGCAGGUGCGAAAGCAGGUCAUAGUGAUCCGGUGGUUCUGAAUGGAAGGGCCAUCGCUCAACGGAUAAAAGGUACUCCGGGGAUAACAGGCUGAUACCGCCCAAGAGUUCAUAUCGACGGCGGUGUUUGGCACCUCGAUGUCGGCUCAUCACAUCCUGGGGCUGAAGUAGGUCCCAAGGGUAUGGCUGUUCGCCAUUUAAAGUGGUACGCGAGCUGGGUUUAGAACGUCGUGAGACAGUUCGGUCCCUAUCUGCCGUGGGCGCUGGAGAACUGAGGGGGGCUGCUCCUAGUACGAGAGGACCGGAGUGGACGCAUCACUGGUGUUCGGGUUGUCAUGCCAAUGGCACUGCCCGGUAGCUAAAUGCGGAAGAGAUAAGUGCUGAAAGCAUCUAAGCACGAAACUUGCCCCGAGAUGAGUUCU
rnacentral:rRNA from 1 species